ACAUACAUGACAUAUAUAAGUAAUUUAUUCCUUUGUUGGUUCAGGGAAGUAUGAUUUUCUAAAUGUGUCGCUUAAUGUGUUUAUUAAUGCAGUUUCAAUUAUAUACACUCUUUCCUUACUGAAGUAUUCAUCUACUACGUGGAGCAUGCCCCUGGACAUCAUAAGGGAAGUGGCAGCAGUAAUUUAAGAGGUAUGUGAAUACAGAAGGGAAAUUAUAAUUGCAGCAUACACAGAAGCUUUUCCUAAACUGUUCAACUGCUCAUAUACUUGACAAGAGUGUAAAUGGCCAAUUCAUUGGAAAUAUGUGAAACAUCAAAUAUGAGAAUCACUUUUAGGAUGACAGGUAUAAUUUGGAAAAUCUGAUCCGAUAGAAUUAAGACCAAAACUUUUUUAAAUGGGAGAAGACAGAAUGGCCAUUUUUUUUUCAAUGUCUUUGAACAAAAUAAUGAGUAGAAGUAAUAUAUUCUUCACCAUUGCUUACUGUGUCCAUGAGAGGUUGUUUGUAAAUAGAUAUAUACCUACAGGAAGUAAAAGAUAAUGUAAUGAAAUUCUCAAACUCUCCAAAUAUGUUUGUUUCCUUUUAAGAUUGUUUUUCUUGAGACAAAAAACUGAAAUACUAUCUAAAAUAAUUUUGGAUUUUAUUUCCUCUAUCCUUUUUAUAACAAAAUGUUACUUAGCUUUAUAUAUUGCUAUUAUGUAUGUUUCUAUAUAAAUAUAUAAUAAGUUGGAUUUUUUUUCACUGUUGAUUUGGUUUAGUCAUCAUCUUAGCUUUUUGCCUCACUGAAAGUAUAGGUUGUGCUUCAAAUGAGAAAAUAAGAGGUGCGAAGUAUUUGCUGUUAUUUUUAUCAAAUGAUAGCCAAUGGCUAAACAUUAAAAUGGUGAUUCUGUUAUUCCGAAUUAAGUUUCUUUGUCCACCACAGAUUGAUGGUGUGUCUUUGGCAACUUUCUUUGUGUCUCUGCUUUAAUUUCAAUUGUAAAAAUGAAUCCAAUGAACUUGGUUUAUGAACAGCUGAAAGAAAUUUAGAUUUUAAGUUUUCUCUACUAGGUGUAUGACAACUGUGACUCUAAAAUCAGCAACAUGAUAAUUAACUAUUACUGUUAUUUACAUUAUGCACCUAUGAAAGGGAUGAUUAUAUCUUUUAGAGAAAACAUCUUUCUCUUACUGCGUAUGUGUCUAAUAUUUGUAAAAUAAUUAGUUCAAAACAUUUAAUUUCUCCAUUAACUUUUAUUUUACAAAAUGAAAUAAUUGUUUGUAGAUAAUUAAUGGCAACUUUAAAAGUAUGACACCCUUGAAAAAGAAAGAACUUACUAGUUUAGUUUUCUUGACUUUCUUACAUAUUUUUACCUUUUGAAAUAACAUUGAGCUUUCAGUACAUUUAAUAAGAUGUAUCAUCAGUAUUUAUUUCUCAAAAAAUUGAGUAACCUUUCUAAAUUAGAUAAGUUUUAUUUGCUUAUUUUAUUUGCUUUUAACACAUUUUGAAGUUAUGUGUGAGGUAAUUUCCAUUGUUCCAGUUUUAAUUCAAACAAUACUGAACAUACUUACAAUAUCUAAAGAUCUUUGGCCUUUCUUUGCAGAAUUAAUUGGAAAAGGUACAAUAAAUAUGCAAUAUGUCACUCACCAUUUUAAUAUUCUAAAUUUAGCAAUUGCUCUUAUACCUAAUGAUUAAUAAUAUAAGUUGUUCUAGUUUCCUUUAUCUGCUGUGGUAUAAAUUUGGCUGUUAAUCCAAUAAUAAAACUAUUUAUAUUUUUAACAUUUUCAAAUAUCAUUACUACUGCUAUUUACUAGUCUCAGUGACAAUCUGAGAUCCUCCUUAGAUGCUUAGAGGAACCUUUAUACAGGGUUAUAAAUAGAGAAUUCUAAUGAUUAAAAUUUAAAAUGGUAGCAAUGACAAGUCCACUAUAAACAUAAUAAAUAAAUCAUUACCUUCUCUAUUAAUGAACAGAAACUUCAGUACUUUAAAGCUAAUAUCUUGAAAGAUUUUAGAAGUGCAGCAAGCUGGUACUCACACCUAAUGAAAAGGUCUUAGUGAAAAUCAUUUUACAAUUUACAACAUUUGCAUUGUUCUUUACAAAUGUUGUUUCCAUUCCAUGCAAGACAAUUAAACCAGAAUUAUUUUGACCACAAAUUUUUCUUCCUAAUUAAUUGGCCAAACACAAUGUAAAUAAAAUAGGAAAUGCUUCAGUUAAUAUUUACUAUAUAAACAAACAAACAGAUAGUGGGAUAAUGGUUUUAUCUAUCACCAUAUUCUAGAAUUGUGCCUGGCAUUCAGUAAGCACCUAAUGGAUUAACAAAUAUGUACUUGUAGAUGUCUGCAGACCAAGGUGAAUUUAGUGAAUAUCAAAAACUUCUUGAGUGCUCCAUCGUAACGCCAUUUAUCUUGACAUAAACUGCAAAGAUGGCUCAAAUGUCGAUAAGGAUAUCAGUUCAGGGUCUCCAGUGGCUGCAGCCUAUCCCAGAAGCUCAGGGUGCAAGGCAAGAAGUAAUCGUGGGACCAGGCGCCGUGGCUCUCGCCUGUAAUCCCAGCACUUUGGGAGGCAGAGGCUGGUGAAUCACUUGAGGUCAGGGG
rnacentral:lncRNA from 1 species